rnacentral:rRNA from 1 species
UGGGGAAUUUUCCGCAAUGGGCGCAAGCCUGACGGAGCAAUACCGCGUGAGGGAGGAAGGCUUUUGGGUUGUAAAGCCCUUUCACCGGGGAAGAUGAUGACAUUACCCGGAGAAGAAGCGCCGGCUAACUCCGUGCCAGCAGCCGCGGUAAGACGGAGGGCGCUAGCGUUGUUCGGAAUCACUGGGCGUAAAGGGCGCGUAGGCGGCUGUUUAAGUCGAGGGUGAAAGCCCGGGGCUCAACCCCGGAACGGCCUUCGAGACUGGGCAGCUCGAGACCGGAAGAGGAGGGUGGAAUACCCAGUGUAGAGGUGAAAUUCGUAGAUAUUGGGUGGAACACCAGUGGCGAAAGCGGCUCUCUGGUCCGGAUCUGACGCUGAGGCGCGAAAGCGUGGGGAGCAAACAGGAUUAGAUACCCCUGUAGUCC